rfam:Oryza sativa (indica cultivar-group) chromosome 1, whole genome shotgun sequence.
AAAAAGACAAAUUCUAGUUUUCGUGUCCAAUGUUUAACCGUCCGUCUUAUUUAAAAAAAUUAUAAAAAAAAUUAAAAAGAUAAGUCACGCAUAAAGUAUUAAUGAUGUUUUAUCAUAUAACAACAAUAAAAAUACUAAUUAUAAAAAAUUUUCAUAUAAGACGGACAAUCAAACAUUGACACGAAAACCCACGGUUUGUCUUUUU